rnacentral:rRNA from 1 species
GUAGGUGGCAAGCGUUGUCCGGGAAUUAUUGGGGCGUAAAGCGCGCGCAGGCGGUUCUUUAAGUCUGAUGUGAAAGCCCACGGGCUCAACCGUGGAGGGUCAUUGGAAACUGGAGGACUUGAGUACAGAAGAGGAAAGCGGAAUUCCACGUGUAGCGGUGAAAUGCGUAGAGAUGUGGAGGAACACCAGUGGCGAAGGCGGCUUUCUGGUCUGUAACUGACGCUGAGGCGCGAAAGCGUGGGGAGCAAACAGGAUUAGAUACCCUGGUAGUCCACGCCGCAAACGAUGAGUGCUAAGUGUUAGGGGGUUUCCGCCCCUUAGUGCUGCAGCUAACGCAUUAAGCACUCCGCCUGGGGAGUACGGCCGCAAAGGCUG